ensembl:lncRNA
UAGCAGUCCGCUCUGAAAAAUACUGUAAUCUUUGAUCCAGCAUUCAGCAUUCAGCUAUAGUGUUGAAGCCAAUGUGAGGACCCCUGUAUAUGCUGAGCUCUAUGGAAAAUUAAGCAAAAUAGAGAGGUACAGCAUUUAGAAAUGCUAGCAGUGGGGUAAAGAAAAGAUCAUGGGAUUUGGGAUUGCACAGAGUCCAGUGGUGCACUGAUUUUGCUGAUUAAACUGAUAAAUAAUGAACUCAAAAUGUUUUAGGCAGCUGUUAGUGUCAGAGAUCAGAUUAAUCUUCAGCAUGAAAGAGAGAAGAUAUUCAAGUUUACAGCACUCCGGAGCAGGCGAGAGCCCCAAAAGAUUACCCCUGCAAAUGUUCUCAAAAUGCAAUAUGGUUUGCUUUGUUUUGGUUUGUUUCUGAUUACCAGACUGUCCACAAAUUAGAUUUCAAAAACAUGUUAAAUAUUCAUAGACAUUUGCUGAAUAGCUUGAAUAAAUAUUUUUGAGAGAAUGCUGUUGCUCAUAAUUUACUUGCUUCAAUUUAAUGUCUGCUUUUUGUGCUGUAUGCUUGGCCAAAUAAAUAAUAAUUAAACACAAGGUCAGCUGCAGAUUUGUAGAAUGUGAAAACAGACUUCUGACCUCAGGUUCCUUAUUGGGAAACCAAUCUGUAAAAUACAAUAAAGAUACUUGCCCAACUGUCACCAGUGUCAAUAACAUGAUACACUAAUGAGCAGUGAUGGAAGUAAGCAUCUUAAAGAGAAAACCUAAAUGAUACCAUUGUUUUAAAUCACUUGUUAUUCUUUCCGUUAUUUUAUUUUGCACUUGUAUGUAGAUAACUUUUAUCAAAAACAUCAUUUACAUGUCUCUGAUGGUCAGUCAGUACUAUUCUAAUUUAUAACUUAUGUGUUGUAACCUUGGUCUCCAUGUUGCUAUUUAAAAUACUGCAUAAUUUGUGUGGAAGGGAAAGUUAUCAUUAGGUGUGAACAUUUUUCUGAGUAUAUGCCAUAAGACUUUGUAUGAGCUGUUGAAAUUCUAGUGAUCCCUAUCUAAUCUAGAUUAUUCUGUAGGACAGCUGAAGAAAGGCAUUGAGACGACAUGGUGGUGCAUCUCAUGAUAGUAUUUAUAGUUGGAUUAGGAUGAAUAGAAACAGAAAUGUGGAAGAGAAUGGAGACAAAAAUUAGCAGUUCAUUCAGGCUUUUAUUUUCAAAAGAUUUGAAUAAAAAUCUUCAGCUGUUGUAGAUGAAUGGCUUUUGACUUCAAUGAAUUAUAGAAGUGGACAGAGACAUUUUUUAUGUGUGACCCACUGCUGAUGGAAGUUAAAGUGAUAUCCCUGUAGAAGACAUGAAAAACUCUUCUCUAUGGCUCCUGGAUGCUUACAUAACGUUCAAUUAUGCAUAAUAUCAACACUCGUGUUUCAAGACUUUUGGGAAGACUAAUAACAAGGAAAAGAGGGGGAAGAGGGCAGGGAGGGAAGAAAGAAGAGAUUUCCCAUAGAAAUAAAUUGAUUGCAUUGUACUGAGCAUUGGAGGUGGAUCCUACACAUGAUCCUUUUCCCAGCUCCUCUGAUGGCUCCAUGUGCAUUUUUCAGAUUGCCAUUUGACUUUUUUUUGUCUUUUAUUAUCCUGACUGUAAAAGAGUAAAGGAAUUACUUGUUCAUACAAGCCGGAUGAUAGUUAUCUAAGUUUUAGUCACAUGAACAGAAUUACACUAUUUUAUUAUCAGUUGAUUGAGCUUUCAAAGCUGAGUAGUAGUUUCAGUGGUGUUAUUCAAAGUAUUUUAUAAUAACAGUCUAUAAUAAUCUAUUAGACAAGUAUUAGUCACAUGUAAGCACUAUUUCGGAAUUUUCAUUUACUUUGUACCUUAUUAAGAAUGAAUCCAUAUCUUUUUGGGGCUGCUUUGUCUGUUCACCUGUUGAGUAAAAUCAAAUAUCACUUGUGUAAAUAAGACUUCAAAGCAGAUUUUCAGGUAAAAGAAACUGCUUUUAGGAAUCAUGAGCAAUUUAACCAAGAACUCUGAAGCAUGAGAAUAUUACAAGAAGAUACCGAAAACAGAAAUAUAAGUGCAAUUCACAUAUACUGUAAUUAUGGAGCUUUUUUGCUGUGUUUGUUUUGAAUCAUGUGGAUGAGAGAUGAAUAGGAAUUUUGCCACUUUCUAUCUGUUUAAAUCUUGCCCAAAUCAGUGCCUGGGAUCUUGAAGCUCACUUGCUUGUAGAAAAUUAGAACAAUUAUUCAGAAAAUUAAAGUUGAACUUUGAAUGAGGAAAACUUCAACACAGAGAUGAAGUAUGACGUUAUUAAGCUUACUAGUGAAAUUCAUUGAAAUACUCUUCAACAGAUUUGGGGAUUUUUUGUUUGUUUUUGUUUUUUGUUUUUACUUCUUUACAUUAUAUAAAAAUAAAUUUGUUUAACACUCAGCCUUUUCUAAUUCCAGUCUUUUAAUGUUAGUCAGGUUAGGAGGAUAACGUAUAAUAUUCUGUACUUCUACUGUCCAUAUUGUACUUUAAGAAGCUUAACAUUUGUUUCCUAUAAGCACCUUUUCCAUGUUAAUUUUCAGUUUCAAAUUCACUAAUGAAAAUGCACAAAUUUAUAUAAUUUCUGACUCAGAAAUGUCUAUAUUCUCCUUUAUACUCACUAACGUUAAUAACUAUGAGACAUGCAUGCAUGAGAAAAAGAAAAAAAAGAAGGCUGGAAGGCACUUUUUCUAUUAGAUAUCACUGUGACACAUGAAACAGAUGAAAAGUUGAAUUGAUUAGAGGAUACAUAAAUGUUUUUAAAUAUGAUUUUGUAAAUAAAGUAGUAUUUUAAUUUUGUAAAAAUUAUCAUUGAACUCCUAUUGAACUUUUAUCUGAAUAGUUCUAUACCUCUUUGAAAAUCUCUUUGAAACUUUGUGUGGUGCAUCUCAGAUCUAAAAUUCUACCUUCCUUUCAUGACUAUCUGUACAUCAAAGGGAAGGAGAAAUGGUAUCAUCAUUUUAUUCUGCUACUAUGAAGGACAAAAAUUUGUCUGAUGGUAGAACAGUAGGAAGAAAAGUGACAGUGACACCUCAGGUUGAAAAAGGGAAAGCUACAAGAAAGUGUAUUCAUGGUUUCAGCUUUGACUCCACUGUGACAUAAUUGCCAUGAAUAUCUUUCAUAACAUACACUAGAGAAAAGGUAUUAAAGCGGUAUACAAAGACCUGUGUAGAAAUGGAAUUUGCAGAUUCUCUUAACUUCAUCAAACAAAAUCAAUUUCCAUGGGACAUUUCAAAGGCACUUCUCAAUGAAGGUCAACUUUCUGCUUUCUUUUCUGUUUUGGCACAUAAUUCAUUUAAAACCUGGAAUGAGAAGAAAGCAAAACUCAAUAGCAUGUACUUACAGGAUUUCAUCUUCUAUAACUAUAAGUAAUUUUAAGCAAGAAAUACAGAAGCUGAGAUCAUUGUUAGAAAACACUAAAAAUAAAGAAAUUAAUAAAGUAAAAGAAAAAAUAGAAAGGCUUUGGAAUUCUGUGUCUGUCAGAUGAGUUCUAUGAAUGGAACUUGAAAAAUACAUAGAGUAUUUAUAUGAUGUAGUGAUAUUCAGUAUAUUUUUACUCUUUUUUUUUUUUUUUUAAAUAUGAUGUCUACCUUUCCUGACCCAAAAGGUGGUGGGAUUUAAAAUUUUGGUAAAAUUACUGAAGUUCUAAUAAAAAAUUACUCAACUCUGCUCAUGUUUAAUUUCAGACUUGCAAUAUCUUUGCUGUUUACACAAUUUUUACUCUUGCCAACAUGAAGUCAAUACGAUCUUGUUAAAGUGGCGUGUCAAUGGUUUGUGGGCUGGUUUGGCCUGGUUCCAUGACUAGCGGGGUGGAGGGACCUGCGGAUCCACGCCCCGGAAAGGACUUAGGUAAAAAAGGGAAAAAAGGGUAGAGAGAUGGGCCUAAAAAAAAAAAAAAAAAAAGCAAAACAGUGGCAAUGAUGAGAAACUGAUGAGAAACAAACUAUUUUACUAAGUCAGAUAUCAGAAUGCAAGAUAACACUCUAUAAUACAAUAUAAUUAGAAUUGGAACUAAUAAAUCAAAUAUAAUGAGAGAGAGUGUCCAAAAGCCGAAGACCUUACUACAUUGCUGUGACAAGAUGGCACCCGCGACAGAGAUGAUUGGGAAAAAAAAGGAUGUCAGGUGACCUACCAAGGCCUUUUAUCUGUUCCCCCUGAGCAGAAAUGAUAACAUAACAGUGAACACUCCUCCGAGGAAUGUAGUAGUUCUUCUCUUCCGGGACAGGUACCUGGACCUGGAGCAUUAACUCUUUAAUUCCCGGUGCACUACAUGAUGCUAUAAUGUGGAAUACUGAUAACCAAAAAUCUUAAAACCAUGACAUGGCAAUAAGCUGAAAAAUAAUACCAACUGUAUUAAUGGAAACACUACAACUUAUUUUUCUUUUCAAGGCUUGUUUUCAAAAUUUUAGAAUUCUUUACAUGGAUUUGUAUUUGCUUGUGUUGGACAUGGUGUGAUGGGACUUCAGCAUUUAUCACCAGCUACUGAUAAGCAUGUUCUGAAUUUUGGCAAAUUCCUCUAAACCUAGAUACUUUGGCAUUUUGCAUCAAUUGUAUUCUUCAUUUUGAAAGGUAUCUGUGAUAGUCAUGCAACUGUUACUCAGUUUGCUUACCCCACACGGAUUGUAUAGCUAAUAUUCAAACAACUUCUUAACUUGCAUUUGACUUGCAUGGUAUGUAAGAGCAUCUUUUUUGAGCAGAUUGGCUUGUAUUUGUAGGUAGCACUUUGACACAACAUUUUUGAAU